rnacentral:rRNA from 1 species
GACGAACGCUGGCGGCGUGCUUAACACAUGCAAGUCGAACGGAAAGGCCCUGCUUUUGUGGGGUGCUCGAGUGGCGAACGGGUGAGUAACACGUGAGUAACCUGCCCUUGACUUUGGGAUAACUUCAGGAAACUGGGGCUAAUACCGGAUAGGAGCUCCUGCUGCAUGGUGGGGGUUGGAAAGUUUCGGCGGUUGGGGAUGGACUCGCGGCUUAUCAGCUUGUUGGUGGGGUAGUGGCUUACCAAGGCUUUGACGGGUAGCCGGCCUGAGAGGGUGACCGGCCACAUUGGGACUGAUGUACGGCCCAGACUCCUACGGGAGGCAGCAGUGGGGAAUAUUGCACAAUGGGCGGAAGCCUGAUGCAGCAACGCCGCGUGCGGGAUGACGGCCUUCGGGUUGUAAACCGCUUUCGCCUGUGACGAAGCGUGAGUGACGGUAAUGGGUAAAGAAGCACCGGCUAACUACGUG